rnacentral:rRNA from 1 species
AGUGAACGCUGGCGGUAGGCCUAACACAUGCAAGUCGAACGGCAGCACAGUAAGAGCUUGCUCUUACGGGUGGCGAGUGGCGGACGGGUGAGGAAUACAUCGGAAUCUACUUUUUCGUGGGGGAUAACGUAGGGAAACUUACGCUAAUACCGCAUACGACCUACGGGUGAAAGCAGGGGAUCUUCGGACCUUGCGCGAUUGAAUGAGCCGAUGUCGGAUUAGCUAGUUGGCGGGGUAAAGGCCCACCAAGGCGACGAUCCGUAGCUGGUCUGAGAGGAUGGGGGACAGAGAGAGAAGUGGAACAAGGAAAAGAGUCCGAAGGGAGGCAGCAGUCGGGAGUAGUGGGGAAGGGGGGCAUGAGUGAUGUAAACACGUGGUGUGAGUGAAGAAGGUCUACGGAUCGAAAAACGCUGGUUUUGGGGAAAAACAUAUGAGUACGAAAGUGUGAAUGUAUUGAAGGGACCGAGUUAGAAAGGGACGGCUAACUACGUG